rnacentral:rRNA from 1 species
CUCGCCUUCUGACAGCGAUCUGGGGGCUCCCAGUGCUGGCAGUCCAUCAUUCAGCUCCUCCCUGUCCUUCGGAUCGGGACCUCGAUCAAGAUUGGUUCCGGCACCGCCACGCUGUUCUGGUUCGAUAGGUGGGCUGGCGACACGCCCCUUGCGGCCCGCUUUCCGGACCUCUUCUCCAUCGUGGUUGCGCGACAGAUCUCCAUGGUGACCGCCCUUAUUGACUUAGGGCAACUAGCGUUCCGGAGUCCUUUUGGCCCGGCUAAGAACGCAGACUGGCAGGAGCUGCUCGACUGUAUUGCACUGCACGAGCCUGAUCUCUCGACGGACGAUGACCGCGCCAGAUGGCGGCUUGAGCCUUCUGGGCAAUUCUCCACCAAAUCUUUAUACCUGGCCAUCGCCCCAUCACUUGUCCAUGAGGCACUCUCCUCCAUUUGGGCGAUCCGCCUUCCCCUCAAAAUUAGGAUCUUCUUGUGG